rnacentral:rRNA from 1 species
GAUGAACGCUGGCGGCGUGCCUAACACAUGCAAGUCGAGCGAUCUCUUCGGAGAGAGCGGCGGACGGGUGAGUAACGCGUGGGUAACCUGCCCUGUACACACGGAUAACAUACCGAAAGGUAUGCUAAUACGGGAUAAUAUAUAAAAGUCGCAUGGCUUUUAUAUCAAAGCUUUUGCGGUACAGGAUGGACCCGCGUCUGAUUAGCUAGUUGGUAAGGUAACGGCUUACCAAGGCGACGAUCAGUAGCCGACCGGGGAGGGUGAUCGGCCACACUGGAAGUGAGACACGGCCCAAACUCCUACGGGAGGAAGCAGCGGGGAAUAUUGAACAAUGGGCGAAAGCCUGAUGCAGCAACGCCGCGUGAGCGAUGAAGGCCUUCGGGUCGUAAAGCUCUGUCCUCAAGGAAGAUAAUGACGGUACUUGAGGAGGAAGCCCCGGCUAACUACGUGCCAGCCGCCGCCGUAA